rnacentral:rRNA from 1 species
AUGAGGCGCACGAUGGCCUUGGGCACGGCGCCCUUCUCGCCGAGGUGCUCGACGGCCUCGACGAACCGGUGGUGCAGCUCCGGCGUCCACACCAUCCUCGCCUUCUUCCCGCCGCCGCCGCCGCCCCUCCGGCCCCCGGGGGCGGCGGCGUCGUCGGUCUCGCCCUCCCCCUCCUCCUCGUCCUCCUCGUCGUACUCGUCGAACCUGAGGGUCAGGUGGGAGGUGGGCGAGUCGUGGAGGAAGCCGGCGUCCACGGGGGAGGAGAGCGCGUCCGCGGGGCCGAUCCCGAAGGCCGCGGCGAGGGCCGGCGGGAUGAGCGGCUGCGAGACGGGCGUCAGCUCGGCGGCCGAGGGGAGGCCGAGCUCCCACUCGGACACGCGGUCCACCAUGUGGCGCCGCGACGAGGAGGAGCCGGCGGAGGCCGCGCCGUCGUGGGGCUGGGGCCGGACGACGCGAGGGGAUAACAUGGCAUAUACUCUUCUGUUCUCUUCUCUUUCCCGGCGGGGGCGGGGGCGGGGUCAGGUUUGCUGA